AAUCAAAAAGUAAAUUGAUCUUUUUUUUGUUAAAAACUGGUGUGAUUAGUAGAAUAUUCAAGCAGUGACACGUGACAUGCCACAUGUACCUUAUGUUAAUGUAUAAGAACCAGUUUUUAGUAGUAAAAAUAGAUAAAUUUUUUAAUA
rfam:Gossypium raimondii Chr10_contig_1383, whole genome shotgun sequence.